AAAUUGUUAUAAGUUAGUAUAAGAAUUUAGACAACUCAAUUCCAAUUAAACAUUGAUAAAUUUAUUAAGCAAGCAAUAAUAAAGCAAAACAGCGCUGGGUGGCCUGGAGGGCAGCGCCCUGCCGAGGCACACACCCAAAUAAAGUCAGUGUCUCUUUUUAUACACCUUCGUGGUUGUUAAGUACACGUUAAGUGGUGUCUGGCCUUGGCUUUUCGGAUGUAAAUUUGUUGCUUGAGUUCGGUGGCUGGGUAAGUGGUCGUCUGGUAUUUGUCAGAGAUGAAAAGGUGCAGUUCUUAUCAGUUGUUUAUUGACACUUGCUUGAUUAGCAAGCUGUCUGUGAAACUCCUCUUGUUUAAUUACAACAAAAAGUUUGACUCCCUCAUAGACAUAAGAUUUUAUGGACAAAGUUAACCCUUCUAUUACAUUACCUAAGUAUAUACAGACAUAUAUUAUUUACUAAAGAGCUGUUAUUUUUCUUUUCCACACCUUUUCAACUGGAGCCUCUUAAUUUUGAAGUUAUAAUUACUCAAAGGGAGGAGCUUGGUUUUUCUCAUAUCCCACCCUCCUUAGCAAACAUUUCUGUCUCAUUAAACUGAGAUAACAACAUUGGAAAACGCUUGGAUAGAGUCUGGCCAGAGAGUUCUGCUCCUCAUGCACAGGUGCUGUUAUAGGUUACCAGCAAUGCCUUAAAGGAAUUGAAGAAGCCAAUUUACAAUAGCAAGCAAAUUUAUUAAUAAGCGGUAGAUAAACAAUCGGCGCGCCGGGAGGGGGGGAGCUGUUUAGAACAAAAGAGAGCUCUCUCACAACUCGCCGCCGCCCGCCCCAAGCUCUCAAACGUCCCCUUUUGAACCCUCCAGGUUCCUGUCCAGACAUGCUCAGUACAUAGGUUCUUAUCCAUACAUAGUCCGGGGCAUGUGCUUUUUGCACAUGCUCAGUUGCAAAGUUUUCCCCAUGCAUGUUCCUGGGCUGUGUUACCGGCGUCCGUGGUCUGGGGGUUUCUUUGUGGGCCGGGAUUUCUGUGAUGAAGAUUUUUAGUCUUCCUCGAUGUCCGCAAGAUGAACCCGGCUUGGAGCAUGCGCCUUUAAUAGCUUAUUGUCUCAUAGCACAUGCAUAAAGUAACGAAGGGAAGGACAAGGAUCAAAGAGUCAAGAACGGGAAUGUUACAGAGUAUCCAAGAUGGACAUUUGGAGGUACCUACACACUAGGCCUCAAGGACUAAGGACUAAUUAAAACUAUGGAAAGGAAAGCACCUGGCAACUGAAACGGGCCUGCAGGGAAGCCAACCAGAACCAGACCUGCAAAACUCAGAUCCAAUGGAAGGAUAACAAAUGACUAUGGGAGGGGAACUGAUAAGGGAAUAAAAGUUACUGGUUUUGCCUACUGCGCUUGUGUGCAGUGAGUGGAGCAGGGGCCUCCCCGGCCGCCCAGCAUGCUGUUUUACUUAUUUGCAUUUUACAUAAAUCUUCAAUAAAUUUUUAUUGCUAUA